rnacentral:lncRNA from 1 species
CAUUGCUAAGGCUUUACCCACAUUCGGAAAGGAAGUAUCUGCAAACAGGAUCUUUUACCAACCCCCACCUCUAUCGUUAUGAACUAACUUUGCCAGUGGAAAGGAGAGAGAAUGCAAAAGCAGAGAUUAGCCUGAUUAUAUAUAAGAGGGUAAGUAAGAAAGUGUGCAUUUUUUGUGUAUGCAUGUGUGAUUAUAUUCCUUGGAUGCUCCCUGAAGUUGCAAUUUUCUUUACAUAGAUUUAUUAAUAAGAGGCACAGGCUUUUCAGCAUGUCUUGAAAUUAAAUUAUGCUGUAGAGUUUCUUCAUGUCCUACUCCUGAUAUUUGGCAUUAAAACCUUUUGAAGAAGUUGGAUGUUGGCUACCAAGAGGUAAAAAUGUUUGACUGUGAAACACCUGUUAGUAUGAAAGAAGGUUCCUGAAUAGAUGCAUUUUAUUUUGCUCUACCUGCAGCUUGCUUGCAACAAAAGUUCCUCAGUGUUACA